UCUCUUUCUCUCCUUCCAAUAAUACAACACAUUUUCAUCUCUGUUAUAACCACAAUCUUUUAAAUCCCACUUUCAUUCAUCAUUGUUACUAAGUUCUUAAUAACCUCAUUCUUUUUAUCCUCUCCUAUGACACAGCUUAUUAAAACAAUCUUUAUAUAUACUUUCUCUGCCCAAUACUGUGAAUUUUAUCAAUAUCCUUCAUCUUUUUCCCCAUUCUCUUCUUCCUUCUUCAUAAACUCCUCCAUUCUCUUCUUUCUGUUCAUAUUUCAAGCUUAAUGUAUCCCUCUAUUGUUCAUCCCGUCAUCAUCAGUUUCAUCAUCACGUAAGCUUUUUUUGGACAUUGCAUCAUCAUCAUCAUCUUCCUUUUAUUGCUAGUCUGAUUUUUAUUCCACUCAUUCGUUCUUUCCGUCAUCAAUGGACGUCACUAUCUUUUGCAACUGGGGCCUUUGUAAUCUCUUCCUCCUCCUCCUCCUCCUUCUUCUUCUUCUUCCUUCUUCUCUUCUUCUUUCUCUUUGUCUCCUUCUUUUUCCUUUUCCUCCUCUUUCGUUAUUUACUUGGCUACUGUUUUUAUUUCCCCUAUUCUUUCUUCUCUUCUUUUUCCUCUUAUUUUCUACUUCCUCCUUCUCCUAUUUCUCCAUCAUCAUCAUCCUUCUUCCUUUUUGUCUAUCAUCAUCUAUUGUUUCUUCCAAGUUCAUUCUAUCUAUUUCCCUUUUUCUUAUUUUUUCUGUUAUCACUUUUUAUCUCCCCCUCUCUUCUAAUUUUUCCAUCUUUAUCAUCCUUCCUUCCUCCUUAUCUUUGUUUUAUCCUUCUAUCUUCAUCCAUAUCUCCUUUUUCUUCUCUCAUUUCUCCUUCAUUAACUUAUUGCUAUCUUCUAUUUGAUUUCUACCUUCAAACUAACUUUUUCUCCUUCUCUUAGUUCUCCAAAAUCAUCAAUAUAUCUCCUCUGUAUGUCUCCCCAAACUUCACUCUCAUCUCCUGUCUCCUUCUCCUAUUUCUCCAUCUUCUCUUCCUCCUCCUCUGUAGCAAUGGUUUAAUAUGCUACCCACACCCUUCUCUACCCCCUCCCUUCACCCUUCUUCUCUCCCUUGCAUUAUUCAGGACUUUCUCUUGCCUUCCCCUCCCUUUUUCAUACCCAGUGGUCCAGUCUCUCCCUCUCUCUCUAUGGUAGCUUUGGUUGUUUGCAUAUAUGGUUGUUAUGCUGUUUGUAUGUGUUGCUUUUUCAAUCAAAUUCAGAGUCUUCGUUUUUCUGUUUUCUCUCGACUCAAGAUUUCCUUACGAUAUGUGUACUUUUGAAGGAGCGCCUGUCACACACCUAAUACCUUAUACCUAAUACAUGUUACCAUGUACUUUUUGAAGGGCCUGGUCACACACCCCUUGCCUCAUACUUCUACCUUAAGUACUCCACACUUCCUUACCUUAUACUGUUGAAGGGACCCAGUCUAAUACCUUAUACCUAAUACCUUAUACACGUUACCAUAUACUUUUUGAAGGGCCUGUCACACACACCCUUCCCUCAUACUUCUAACUUGUGUACUCCAUGGUUCCUUACCUUAUAGUGUUGAAGGGACUAGUCUUAUACCUUAUACUGUUACCUCAUACCUUAUACUUUUUGAAGGGGCAUCACACAGCUUUUACCUAACAUUUCCUUCCUUAUAUUUUGGGGCCCUGUUAAACACCUUUCCUUAUACUUUUUGAAGGGACUAGUCUUAUACCUUAUACUGUUACCUCAUACCUUAUACUUUUUGAAGGGGCAUCACACAGCUUUUACCUAACAUUUCCUUCCUUAUAUAUUUUGGGGGCCCUGUUAAACACCUUUCCUUAUACUUUUUGAAGGGUCCCAGUCAUACCUUAUACUGUUACCUCAUACCUUAUACUUUUUGAAGGGGCAUCACACAGCUUUUACCUAACAUUUCCUUCCUUAUAUUUUGGGGGCCCUGUUAGACUCCUUUCCUUAUACUUUUUGAAGGGACCAGUCUUAUACCUUAUACUGUUACCUCAUACCUUAUACUUUUUGAAGGGGCAUCACACAGCUUUUACCUAACAUUUCCUUCCUUAUAUUUUUGGGGCCCUGUUAGACUCCUUUCCUUAUACUUUUUGAAGGGUCCCAGUCUUAUACCUUAUACUGUUACCUCAUACCUUAUACUUUUUGAAGGGGCAUCACACAGCUUUUACCUAACAUUUCCUUCCUUAUAUUUUUUGGGGGGCCCUGUUAAACACCUUUCCUUAUACUUUUUGAGGGUCCAGUCACAUACCUUAUACUGUUACCUCAUACCUUAUAUUUUUUGAAUGGGCAUCACACACCUUAUACCUAACAUUUCCUUCCUUAUAUUUUUGGGGGGGCCCUGUUAAACACCUUUCCUUAUACUUUUAUCUUAUACCUUAUACUUAUUAGGGCCCAGUCACACACCUCAUACCUUCCUUAUAUUUUUGGGCCCUUGUUAAACCUCUCAUUUUAUACGUUUACCUUUCCCCUUAUGCUUUUUGAAGGGCCCGGUCACAUACCUUAUACUUUUGGAGGACCCUGUAACACCCCUUAUACUGUCACCUUAUACUUCAACUUCUCACACACCUCGCCUCGCAGUUUUACCAAUACCUUAUACUUCAGAAAGGCCCGGUGACAAGUCUUCUCAUAUACCUUAUACUCACUUCCUUAUACUUCUGAAGGGCCCUAAGACACACCUUUUCCAUCAACCUUAAACCUCCUCCCCUUUCCUCCUCUCACCUCUCAUCCAUCCACUCAUGAACCUCGCUUUGUUGUGGUAACACUUUAUUCCCAUGGUGUACAUGGUAGUAUAUAAAAUAUAAUGGAACCUUGAGCUAAAUGUUUUUGUUGUCAACUUGUGGUGGUGUGGAUGAGACUACUGGCAAUAGACAUGAUGUGAUAUAGCAAAGACCUCGACAGAUGGACCGACGGACGAGUUUCACAGUUCGACGCAGGUUUCAUAGUCACACGGAACGGGAGAUGAUGGAGAUUUCUUGUAUGGGGUUCAGUGGUGGUACAAAAAGUAAGUGAUUUGGGGAAACUAUACCAGAAAUUUAAAGGUUCUUGUAUGGGGUUCAGUGGUGGUACAGAAAGUAAGUGAUUUGGGGAAACUAUACCAGAAAUUUAAAGGUUCUUGUAUGGGGUUCAGUGGUGGUACAGAAAGUAAGUGAUUUGGGGAAACUAUACCACAAAUUUAAAGGUUCUAAGUACACAAAACCAAAGAUGAUGGAGAUUUCUUGUAUGGGGUUCAGUGGUGGUACAGAAAGUAAGUGAUUUGGGGAAACUAUACCACAAAUUUAAAGGUUCUGAGUACACAAAACCAAAGAUGAUGGAGAUUUUUUGUACAGGGUUUGGUGAUAUAGAUUUUUAAGUCCCCGAAAACUGACAACGAAUGGAAUUUCUUGUAUAAGGCUUGAUGUUAUGGAACGUAAGUGAUUGGUUGACACUACACCAUACAUUUAAGUAGUAUCUGGUGCUACAUACUAAAGAUGACCACUGCACCAAGGAAGAGUAUUAGGUAAGCUAUUUGAGGAAGCUAUACCAGAAAUCUGUAUAAUACCUGUUGCCCAAUACGAUAGAUUUUGAUGCUCGUAUGGAAACUGAGAAAUCUCGAACACGCACCAAAAAAGUGACCAUUGCACCAAGGAAGAGUAUAAGGUAAGCAAUUUGUGUGGAAGCUAUACCAGAAAUCUUUAUAAUAUCUGUUGCCCAAUACUGUAGAUAAAAAAUUUUGUUUGUACGGAAACUGAAAAAUCUCGAACACGCAACAAAAAUCUAUAGUACCAAGACUUCGUACCAAACCCGAGACUUACGUUCCUUAUACUCUGGUUACGGCGCUUAUGAUAUCACUGCGUCGGACUGUGAAACCGGUCUUGGGCCCUCAUAUUUUGGGGGGGGCUAUGUUACGAUAUACUCCUGAACCCAGACAGUGUGAGCUUAUGCUAAAACUAUUAACCCAAAGCAACCAAAACUCUUGAUAUAUGUAGUGUGGUGAGGGAAGGGAGGGAGGUGUGGGAAAGGAUGGAGUGUUGAUUAGAGGAGGAGGAGGAGGAGGAUGAGAGGGGAGGGAUGGAGUGAGCCUUGAUAAAUGAGAUGAGAAUUAAGGAAGAAAAAGAAAGGAUGAGAAAGAGAAAUGUAAGGAGAAAAGUGAUAAAAGAGAAAAAAAGAAGAGAAAGAAAGGAUGAGAAAUGUAAGCGAAUGACAAAAUGAAAAAUUAAGAGAAUGAAAAUGAGGAAAAAAAGGGACAGGAGAGAAUGAAAGGAGCAGAAAAUGAAAAGAAAAAUGAGUGAAAAAAAGGAAAAGUGAGGAAAGAGAGACAAGUGAAAGAGGAAAACUUAGGAAAGGAAAUCAAGGAAAAAGGAUGAAAGGAAAGUAAGAAGAGGAAAAAGUUAUAGAAAGGAAAAAAUGAGAAAAGGAAGUUUGAAUGUUGAAGAAAGGGAAACAGAGGAGGAAGGAGAGAGAGAGAGAGAGAGAGAGAGAGGGAAAAGAAAGGAAGGGAAGGAAAAAGUUAUAAAAAGGACAAAAAACUAGAAAAGGAAAGUUAAUAUGUUGAAAAAAAGGAGGAAAGAAGAGAGAAAGAAAGAGAGAGAGAGGGAGGGAUGGAGAGAAGGAGGGAAAGUAAGGAGAGGAAAAGAUGAUAAAAAGGAAAGUUAGGAUGUUGAAAAAAAGAAAAAACAGAGGAGGAAAAAAAGACGAAUGGAGAGAGAGAGAGAGAGGGAGGGAGGGAUGGAGAGAAGGAAGGAUGGAGGGAGGGAGGGAGGGUACAUCCAAUUAACCAAACACAAGCCUACCACAUCGAUCCAACACAUCCGCGGCAACAUCGACGGAAAUGAACGAACGCAAUUUCCGAGACACUCACCGACAUGUCUUCCGUAAGGGGCGGUGAGGACGAGGGAGAGGGAGGGAGACGACGAAGGGAGAUGAUGAAGGGGGAAGCAACACACCCUAUCUACACAAAGUUUGAUGAUGCACCCAAGCCUAUUAUUAUUUUUUUUCUUGUUUUUUUUCGUUUUGUUAUUUUUUCAGUGUUAUGAUCGUAGUGGAUGAACGUAAAUUAGAGGGGAGGAAAGCAGGAAAGAGAGGGAUUAAGGGAAGGAAAGGGAGGUGUUGGGUAAGGAAGGAAGGAAGGGAGGGAGGGAAAGAGGGAGAGAGAGGAAGGAAGGGAAAAAAAGGGAGGUUGAGAGGAAGGAAUUGAGGGAGAGAAAGGAGGGAGAGGAUAAAGGAAGAGAAAGAGAGGAAAGGAGAGGGAGAGAAAGGGAAGAAAGGAGAAAGGAAGAAAAGGAAAGAGGAACAAAAGAGAGGAAGGAAGGAAAAGAAGGAAGAAGAGAAAGAGAAGGAAAGAGAAAAGGGAAAAGAGAAAGAAAGGGCAGAAAACAAGGAGAGAAAAGAAGAAAAAGAUGGAUAAAAAAGAUAAAGGAAAGAAAAGGAGAAUAAGGUAUUGAAAGAAUCGAGAGAAGGAGAGAAAAGGGGAAAACAGGGAGGAGGAAGGAAGGAAGAGGCAAUAAACGUCGCAAGGUUCACACACAUCAAUAGGCGAAACGUAAACAAUCAUUCUCAGUACACAGACACAAAGAAGAAGAGGAGAAAAAUCCUAUAACCUACCCGUCGUUUGUUUUCCUUAAGGGGGAGUUUCUUACGUUUAUAGCCAUCAUUUUUUUGUUUGUUUUCUGCGUUUAUGAAUUUUUUGUGGUGUUUUUUGUAUAUUGUGACGUCAAGCAUGAAUCCUAUAUAUAUAAAAAUGAAAUGGCAGUAGUAGUAGUAGUAGUAGUAGAAGUAGUAGUAGUAGUAGUAGUAAUAGUAGUAGUAGUAGUAGUAGUAGUAGCGAACGUAAUAUAAUGUUCCCAGAUAGUUUUGGUCAGUCGACGGAAUCGCCAGUUUGUUUGACCGCCAUGAAAGGACAGAGAAAAAUGUGGAGAACUCAAAAAGUGUGAAACGAAAAGAAAAUAAAUGUCAUACGUACAAGAUGAGUUUCGACAUUGAGGAAAAAAAACAGCAGCAAUGUCGCCAAAUAAGGAAGGAAAAAAAGAACAUCCAAUAUUAAAAAAAACAGGACAGGAAAACUAUUAGUAGCAAUGUCGCCAAAUAAGGAAGAAAAAAAAAGAACAUCCAAUAUUAAAAAAAACAGGACAGGAAAACUAUUAGUAGCAAUGUUGCCAAAUAAGGAAGGAAAAAAAGAACAUCCAAUAUAAAAAAACAGGACAGGAAAACUAUUAGUAGCAAUGUUGCCAAAUAAGGAAGGAAAAAAAGAACAUCCAAUAUUAAAAAAAACAGGACAGGAAAACUAUUAGUAGCAAUGUUGCCAAAUAGGGAAGAAAAAAAAAACAUCCAAUAUAAAAAAAACAGGACAGGAAAACUAUUAGUAGCAAUGUUGCCAAAUAAGGAAGGAAAAAAAGAACAUCCAAUAUUAAAAAAAACAGGACAGGAAAACUAUUAGUAGCAAUGUUGCCAAAAAAGGAAGGAAAAAAAGAACAUUCAAUAUUAAAAAAAAAACAGGACAGGAAAACUAUUAGUAGCAAUGUCGCCAAAUAGGGAAGAAAAAAAAAACAUCCAAUAUUAAAAAAAACAGGACAGGAAAACUAUUAGUAGCAAUGUUGGCAAAUAAGGAAAACAAAUGAAAAAAAAACAUCAAUCAAGUCAGGAAAAAAACAGGAAAAAUUUAUCGUACUGUCACUACAAGGAAAGAGGACAAAAAAUAUUAAAACGUGAAAGGAAGGGAAAUAAAAAGGUCAGUUAUUUAGUAAAAGUGAAAAGUUAUAUCAUUAUUAAUAAGAACAAAAAAAGUUAUUCAGUCUUCCAAUCACAAAAAAAUUAUAGAAAACAUCGCAAUAAUAAAAAAAACAGGUCAGUAGGUCAUCGAAGAAGGUCAAAACAAACACCAAAUAAGGAAUAAGACAAAAUCAGUUAGUCCCCAAAACAAUACUAAUAAUAAAACAAAACAAAUAAAGAAAAUAAUAGAGAAAAAAGAAAGAGAUCAGGCGUAUCGUCACCCAAAACAAAAUCAAGACAAUCAUCGAAUAAGAAAACAAAACAAUACCAGUCAGUCUUUAAGUCCCCCAAAACAAAACAAAACAAAAUAAUAGAGAAAAAAGAACAUUAUCAGGCGUAUCGUCACCCAAAACAAAAUCAAAACAAUCACCCAAUAAGAAAACAAAACAAUACCAGUUAGUCAGUCUUUAAGUCACCCCUAAAAACAAUAAUAAUAAUAAUAAAAAGAAAAACUAAAGUGCGCCAAAAAUCAUCACCCGCCCAGAAAAAAAAAAAAUGGCAGCAAAUAAGAAAAGAAAAACAAAAACACACAAUCGGUCUGUCGGAUGUAUUGAAAAAAAUAAAUAAAUAAAUAAAUAAAUAAAAAAAAAAAAAAUAAAUCUAACUAAGUCUGCUCACCACAAGCAUAAUAAAUCCACCAGCAACAACAACAACAACAACAAUCAUCAUCAUCAUCAUUACUAUUUUAUCGGCUAGUUAGAGGCUAUCAUUAAGAGGGGCUAUUAGUGUGUAUUAACAUUAUCGCUAGUAAUUCGAAUAGCUACAGCAGCCAAGGGUUUAAAUGUAGACCUUGGUGAAAAGAGCGAUUAUGAGCUAUGGGGUAGAGCGUAAGGGGGGGGGGGGGAGGCGGAGGAGGAGGCGGAGGAGGAGGUGAUGGAUGGUAGUGAGAGUAGGUUUAAAGAGUAUGAUCUGAUUUGAGAAGGAGAGGGAAGGGAAGGGAAGGGAAGGGAAGGGAAAGGAAGGGAACGGAUAUUAAGGAAAGGGAAUGGAAUGGAAGGGAACGAUGGGAAGGGAAGGUAUAGGAUAUUAAGGAAAGGAAAGGGAAAGGAAGGGGAAGGGAAUGGAGGGGUAGGGAAGGGAUGAGAAAGGAAGGGGAGGGGAAGAUAAGGGAAUGAAAUAGAAGGUGAGGGAAGGGAUGAGAAGGGAUAAGAGGUUAAGUGGAGGAAAGAUAAGGAAAGAUAAGGGAAGGGAAGGAAAGGUAAGGGAAGGAGAGGAUAAGAAAGGGAAGGGAAGGAAGGAGGAAGAAAGGAAAGGAAGAA